UGAUUUUGCGAGCAUGUGUCCGCUCGCGUGCAAUACCGUGAGAGGAAAGUCCGGACACCGCAUGGCAGAAUUCCGCGCGAAAGUGUGGGCAUGGGAACUACAGGUCCCGUGACGGAACAGUGCAACAGAAAGUAUACCGCCGCAAGGUAAGGGUGAAACGGUGGGGUAAGAGCCCACCGGCGAAGCAGCAAUGGUUCGCGCACGGCAAACCCAAUUCGGUGCAAGGCGGAAUAGGAAGUCGAGUAGCCAGCUCAAUGGCUUCGGGUUCGCCGCAUCCCGAAAGGGAAAUUUCGCAGAAUUGCGGAAUUAGAUAAAUGGGCACACCGCCGCUUGGCGGAACAGAAUCCGGCUUACGAGCAAAAUCACCCC
rnacentral:RNase_P_RNA from 1 species